rnacentral:lncRNA from 1 species
AGUUUCAGUUUGUCCUGCGCCGUCGGCGUUGCGCGCCGCGUUUCUUCUGCUUCCGAGAAAGAAUUAAAGGGAUUUCAAGAAGAAAUCCCAUAAACAAAUAGUAGUUACUAAAAGUAAAGUAUUCAACGCGUGUUUUCUGCGUAUGGCGGGAGUGUGUGUGUGUGCCAUUCUAAACUCAAAUUUCCGUUGAUUACAAGCCAAGCUCACCCACACACAUGUACGCUCUCCAUCGCCAUCGCUCACAAAUUUGAGACUGCAUCGCCGAUGAAUACGAACGGAUGCAAGCAGCAUUUACAGUUCAAAUGUGCCGUCUAAUUAGAAAUGAUUUAAUUUCAAUAGCGAUUUAAUAAAAACGAAUUUGCGAAACGAAGCGACGCCGCCGCGUGUGUAUUUCGUAUAACAGACAGAAGAAGAACACAACAACAAGAGGGCAAGACAUACUUGAGAAAUAAAGCAAAACCAACAGCAACAACUAUUGCUAUCAACAUGAUUCUCUUUCGCUCGCUCUCCCGCUCUUUACCGUUUUGCUGUGCGCGUGUGUAAGCUUCGCUUUGUUAGUGUACGGGCCAAAGGAAUGAAGCCGGAACACCUUUCAACCCCGUGGGCCAUUGUUAGUGCUCCGUGGCUAGGGAUAGAUGGCUACUGUAUGGCCACUUGCUGCACGGCCAUGAAGCUACUCCUCCCACACGAUUUGCUUCACGCUCAUUUAAAUGCCAACGCACCGCAGGGAGGAGAGAGCAGGGCACUUCACUUCGGCGGCUCGGCUGGCUUAUUUACAUAUUUUCUAAAUGAAUAUGGGCCCCGCGAGUUUGCAACCCCGACCGGCGGUGGCAAAGCCGAGAAGCGCAUUCAGUUGCAACGGCCGCGGCAGCUGGCUUUCCCUGCACUGGAUUUCCACUUCCUCCUGGUCGAAGCAGCCGCAGCAGCAGCAGCAAUAACAAUCAGGAACAGCAGCAGCAGCAGCAACAAGAAGCCGUCAAACGCCGCAACUAAUUGAUAUAAUAGUUAAAAGAACAAACUAACGAGAAAGAGGUUGUCGUCGUCGAACGCGGCGCGUUGGAGAAGUGCAAAACCUUUCCAAUUUGAAAAUAGUUUUCCUGCUAUGUGUGCUCGUUCCCACAAGCGCGGCAAUACCAACUCAUACCAACCCACGGCUCCAACACCACCAGAUGCAGCAACAACUGCAUCAACAGCAACAUCGGCUCAGAACAAGCACAAGCAGCGAAAGCCUGCACUUCGCCAAGCGGUGAUUGGGAAAAGGGGCUGCAGCUGGAGUUGGAGUUGCAGCCAGAGUAGAAGCUGGAGCUGGAGCUGGAGAAGAUGACAAUGCAGCGAUUAGAGCAAUGCAGAACUUGAACUCUACGACGGCGGCAGCUGGAAAAAUGUUUGCCCCGAUCCCCGGGACACCGACUCAGUCACUCAGUCCGUCCCAAUGCGCGGCAUUUCCGUUCGGAAAAAAAAGAGGAUGCUGUCGAGAAGGAAGGCCCUCGAUCGAUUCGAUGCUGAUGCAUUCUGCAGGGGUGGGGGGAACGUAGUGAUCAUGUUUGUAGCAUCUAAAUAAAGUACCUGUAAUGGUUUUCAUUAAGUAAUGCGUCGUCUUUGGCUUCUUGGUUUAUGAACACGGCAAAUAUUUAAUGUGAGAUAAAAAAUGUUCAAUAUUCAGAUCAUUGACCUAAACAACAGAAGAACUUAAGGAUGUCAACAAUAUAUAAACUUCACAAAUACUGCUUUCUUUGACGUUGUAAUAUAAAUAAAACGUUUUUAUAUU